rnacentral:rRNA from 1 species
UACGUAGGGGCCUAGCGUUGUCCGGAUUUAUUGGGCGUAAAGAGCUCGUAGGCGGUUCGGUAAGUCAGGUGUGAAAUCUCCACGCUCAACGUGGAGGCGCCACCUGAAACUGCCGUGACUCGAGUCCGGUAGGGGAGUGUGGAAUUCCCGGUGUAGCGGUGAAAUGCGCAGAUAUCGGGAGGAACACCGGUGGCGAAGGCGGGUCUCUGGGCAUUUCCUGACGCUGAGGCGCGAAAGCGUGGGGAGCAAACGGG